AGUGAACGCUGGCGGUAGGCCUAACACAUGCAAGUCGAACGGCAGCACAGUAAGAGCUUGCUCUUACGGGUGGCGAGUGGCGGACGGGUGAGGAAUACAUCGGAAUCUACUUUUUCGUGGGGGAUAACGUAGGGAAACUUACGCUAAUACCGCAUACGACCUACGGGUGAAAGCAGGGGAUCUUCGGACCUUGCGCGAUUGAAUGAGCCGAUGUCGGAUUAGCUAGUUGGCGGGGUAAAGGCCCACCAAGGCGACGAUCCGUAGCUGGUCUGAGAGGAUGAUCAGCCACACUGGAACUGAGACACGGUCCGGACUCCUACGGGAGGCAGCAGUGGGGAAUAUUGGACAAUGGGCGCAAGCCUGAUCCAGCCAUACCGCGUGGGUGAAGAAGGCCUUCGGGUUGUAAAGCCCUUUUGUUGGGAAAGAAAAGCAGCAGGUUAAUACCCCGCUGUUCUGACGGUACCCAAAGAAUAAACACCGGCUAACUUCGU
rnacentral:rRNA from 1 species